rnacentral:lncRNA from 1 species
UGUUGCCCUGAGGGAAGUCUACUGCUGGAUGGGACAAAAGGCGUCAGGUCAAAUUGCUAAAGAAUAAGCAAAGAAGAAGAGGAACAAAUACUGAGAAGUAACAGAUCACAUUCCUAACCUCUGAGAAGAAACUUCCCUCAGAAGCUCAAACUGAAACAGACCUUCUGGAAAAGGACAGCACACAAAAGAGGAUCACUGAAACUGAGUCUGUAUUGAUCAAAAGAACACCCUCUACAUCAUUAUUACAGAAGCUUACAACAAAAACACAGUGA